UACGUAGGGGGCAAGCGUUGUCCGGAUUUAUUGGGCGUAAAGAGCUCGUAGGUGGUUUGGUUAGUCGGAUGUGAAACCUCCAGGCUCAACCUGGAGACGCCACCCGAUACUGCUGUGGCUAGAGUCCGGUAGGGGAGCGUGGAAUUCCUGGUGUAGCGGUGAAAUGCGCAGAUAUCAGGAGGAACACCAGCGGCGAAGGCGGCGCUCUGGGCCGGUACUGACGCUGAGGAGCGAAAGCGUGGGGAGCAAACAGG
rnacentral:rRNA from 1 species